CAUGGUUGUCGUCAGCGUCGUGUCGUGAGGAUGUUGGGUUAAGUCCCGCAACGAGCGCAACCCUUGUGUUUAGUUGCAAACAGGUCAAGCUGUGCACUCUAGACAGACUGCCGUGGACAACACGGAGGAAGGUGGGGGAUGACGUCAAAUCAUCAUGCCCCUUAUGAUCUGGGCUACACACGUGCUACAAUGGCCGGCACAACGGGAAGCGAGUUCGCGAGGACGAGCGGAUCCCUCAAAGCCGGUCGCAGUUCGGAUUGAAGUCUGCAACUCGACUUCAUGAAGCUGGAAUCGCUAGUAAUCGUGGAUCAGCCAAGCCGCGGUGAAUACGUUCCCGGGCCUU
rnacentral:rRNA from 1 species